UGCUUUAAAAUGAAUAUCAUAGCUAAAAUAGAGAAACAGUUUUUAUAGCAUUUUUCCCCAGCUCCUGCCGGAGCUGCAAUGUUUCAAGAUGGCUCUCGCGGCAGAAAGUUACGGUACGGCACGUGGCAUUAUUGUAGAUAAUUUUGGUGUAUAUAGAUUACUAACAGUCGGCGAUGAGAAAGUGGCGCCAUCUAAUAGAUCAAAGGCGAAAGCAAAGGUAUAGGGUUUCAAGCGAUGGCGCCAUAACCUUUAGGCUGUGCCCGGUAAGAUGGCGCCGUUUUUUGACAUUUAAUAAAUUGAACACAUAUUAGUGAAUUAGGUUCAAAGUCAAAUGGCGUUUUAAAAGUUUUAAUCACGUGUCGAAAGAUAAGGCAGUAAAUUUACGUGGCUACAAAGUGUUCUUUGACAAUACACCUCUAUUUCAAAUUCUCUUUGCUGUUAGUUACCCAAAUCAGUUGAACAGUUUGCUACUUUGCUGUGCGGUAUUUAGAGCACCAACAUAGGUCUUGACUGGCUUAAAAAGUUAAAAUGCUCAGAGUUUUUGUAUAUUUUUGAUUCGUUAUUUUUGUUGCAUGUUGAGACGGCCCAAUGAUGCUAUUUUGAGGUCAUUUACUGAAAAUAGGUCCGUUGGCACUGUUUGAUGUAUCUUUCUAAUCAUGCUCUACCCGUUCCUCGCCUUUACCAUUACUACCGAUCAGAUUUGAUAACGGCACUGUCACAAGAACUUACAUUAUUCAGUCAGCGGCAGUAAUGCAGUUGGCAGUAAUGUCGCGUUACAAAUACUGCGGCAGUAGUGCAGCUGCGGUUGGGAAUCCGAACGUUACCUUUACAUUGUUUACCUAUAGAGUAGUGGUCGACCUGGGGUAUCUUGCUGUAGGUUGUUUAUACGUUGCGCUUUAAGUUUAUUUGUAUAAUUUAAAACGCAGCAGUGACAGCGAAGUAUUCACACACACACACUCAAAACGUUUUACCUAUGACCAAAAUAAAAUUCAUGAAACGGAACGCAAACUUGUCAUGAUUGACAGAUGUCAAAGUCAGAAAGCCCAUGAAAUGCGGGAAUCAAGUUUCAACAAAAUAUGUUGUAUACGUGCGAAAUAUGUUUAAAAAAUUCACCACGUCGUACAGGACGAUCAACGAAACUCUCGACUUCUUUAAGAGCAGUCAGGUGGAUACAUCUCUCAAUAUGUUCGUAAUCUCAGAGAGCGUCUAAAGCGAGCAAUCCGAUGAUAGCUUUAUGCUCGACGACAUUGGAAUGACGAAGAUUGGAUCAAUGCGAAAUUAGCUCAAAUUCAAAAUACGGAUACAGAAGAUGACGUUUUAUUUCGUGAGUGAGCCAUCCAUCAAUUUGUGUCAACAAGAACAGUCCCAAAGCAUCCAAGAAAGUACCAGUGUUUCUAUUACUGACUUGAUUAUAUAAAUCAUGCUAUUUAUUUAAUAAUUUCAAGUAAUACUAACUACAUUUAUAGCAAUUAAAAUAUAUGUCUGA